rnacentral:misc_RNA from 1 species
AAGUCGUAACAAGGUUUCCGUAGGUGAACCUGCGGAAGGAUCACUAUUGAAUUCUCAAUAACGUAUGUGAACCUGCUGAACCUUGGCUCAUAAGUUUGUAGACGCUGUUGGGGUCAUACCUGCGGCUUAACAGGCCUAAGUGCCAAGGGUAGGCGUUAAAACUGGCGGACUUUGAGCCGUCAGUCUAUUUUUAACCACCCUUUAAUCAUGAUUAUUACUGAACAUUUUAAAACUAAAGACAACUUUUAGCAACGGAUCUCUAGGCUCUC